rnacentral:lncRNA from 1 species
AAUUAUAUUACUACUACUGAAAUUUCCCUAGGAAAUAAAUACAGUUCUGUCAAUUUUAUGCUUUGCGCUUGCGAGAAACUUGGCGCCAAUGAAGGUAUUCUACUUCCGAUGAAAUUAUGCUGAACUUAGAGUAAUUUCGAGGGACUUAUCAUCGACGAAUUAUUCCGUCGUAACUAGACUUAUUUCGACAGAUUAAAUCUGUC